UGGGGAAUAUUGGACAAUGGGCGAAAGCCUGAUCCAGCAAUGCCGCGUGUGUGAAGAAGGUCUUCGGACUGUAAAGCACUUUCGACGGGGACGAUGAUGACGGUACCCGUAGAAGAAGCCCCGGNUAACUUCGUACCAG
rnacentral:rRNA from 1 species